UUUUUUCUCGGGGACUUACUUCGGAUGCUAUAAGGGCGUAUAAAAAAAUUUUUUUUUGGGAACCGAUGUACUUUUGUAUGAAACGUCGAGAAAUACAAAAAAAAAUUUUUCUUCGAACUACAAAUUUUUUUUGGACUUAAAAAAACAAUAGAAUUUUUAUUAUACGCCCUUAUGGCAUCCGAGGUGGGUCCCGAAAGCCAUAAGGGCGUAUAAAAUUUUUUUUUAGCAUUUCUGCAUGUUUCAAACGAAACUACGUCAAUUCCCGAAAAAAUUUUUUAUACGCCCUUAUGGCAUCUGGAACACGAUAUUGAAAAGAAAUAAUAUUUAGUAUAAAUAAAUAUCAAACAAUUAACAAAUUUAUAUUUGUAUGAUUUUCAAUCACAAGGUUUGUUGUAAUGGUAAGGUAAAGUACCCAGUACUUGAACAAUUUUAAAAAUGGUCCUAGUACUUGAACAGUUUGGAAAUUCUUAUAUUAUUAAAAAACUCCGGCCGUAAACAUUAAUAUUUAAUGUAUAUUAAGAUAACUUGAUGUCUUAGUUAAUGAUACAAGAAAUAUUUUUUAAUGAUAAAACUAAAUAUUAUAUUUUAUUUAAUAUAUAAUGACGGGAUCAUUCAAAGUGUCGAUUAGUAUUCAUUUUUUAAUGAAAAUGAUACUCACCACCACAAUAGAAAAAUGGCGAAAUAACCCAAAAUAUUUGAGCGUUCAACAAAAAAACUUAACUAAUCAAAAAUAUAGAUCAUUUUGCAAAAUAUAUAAGACAGUAGUACUUGAACUGUCUAACUCAAUGUUAAAUAAAUAUUUUAAAGUGUUUUAAAAAAUACAUUUAAUCGUAUAGGCGAAUAUUAGUGUUUGAGAAAUAAAAAAAAAAUUACACGUUCUAACCUCACAUUGUAAACAAAAGUGUCUAAAGCCAUACUAAAUGAUUGUUCAAGUUCUGGUACAGAGAUGUUCAAGUACUGCAGUACAAGCAUGCAGCCUGUCGAGUAGAAUCGAAAUCGAGUUUACCAUCCCUAGUGUAAGGGAAUAAACCUUGGGCAUGUGGCGGAGAAGACAUCGGGUUCAAUUCCUCGGUGAUACAGAAUUAUUUUUUCGGUGACCUAAACUUCUUUUUAAUUUGAGUGAUAGAAAUUUACGAUGUUGUAUCGUAUAAAUUACGAUGUUUGAGUUCUGGUCCGGCACUACAAUGUCCUAUACUGAAAAUUACGAUGUUUUCAUUGUAAUUUUUCGUACAAUUUUCUUUCCAUGUGCGUCGAUUGUUGUGAGUCCCAUCAAAAACGAUUGAUUCGAUAGGAAAAUACCAUAAUUAAAAAUUUCAAAAAAGCAUGUUCAACAACCACUAGAUUUUCGAGCUUGAAAAAUUAUAAAAUUAUAUAAAAGCUCGAAGAGCUCAAAACUGAAAAGUAGAUAAUUUCUCUAGCGUUUUGAACUCGUACAUAGCGGGAAGUUCCAAGAAUGGCUUGCAGGGUCAACCGUUUUCCAGAUUUAUUUUUUUAAAUUAUAUUUUUGAGAUUUUUCACAUUAUUUUCUAAAUCUACGCAAGUCUACUGAAAUAAUAUUUGAAAAAUAAACUAAGAAUGAAACACAUCCUCAUCCUGUUGUGAUGACAUGACUAAUGGCACAUUCUGUCUUAACUGGGAUUCAAAUAUACGUAUCUUUGCAAUUUAGCCAAACAGUACUUGAAUUGUUGGUUCUGUUUGGCUGUUAUUACCCUAGCGGUUUUGUAAAUGCCGAAAAAAUGUCGCAAUUAUACAGUAUUAAUGCGGUAUUUUUUCAGAAUUUUUUCGGUUGUUUUGGUCAGUUUUUUUAUCGAAAAAUUACGGAACAUUUACCGUAAAAAUGCGAUACAUUUACGCUGAAAAUGCGGCAUUUUUACGGUAAUAAGGCGGUAAAAUGACUGUAUUAAAACCAUAUUUAAAAAAUGGUGUCAAAUUAAACAACGCUCGGACUAGGAUUCGAACCCAGAACCUCCUGAGGACAUGUCGGCUACUCUACCAUUUGAGCUACCCGGUCUAUACCAUAGUGU
rnacentral:lncRNA from 1 species